rnacentral:rRNA from 1 species
AUUGAACGCUGGCGGCAGGCCUAACACAUGCAAGUCGAGCGAGCGGCGGACGGGUGAGUAAUGUCUGGGAAACUGCCUGAUGGAGGGGGAUAACUACUGGAAACGGUAGCUAAUACCGCAUACCAUCAGAUGUGCCCACAUGGGGUUAGCUAGUGGGUGGGGUAACGGCUCACAUAGGCGACGAGCCCUAGCUGGUCUGAGAGGAUGACCAGCCACACUGGAACUGAGACACGGUCCAGACUCCUACGGGAGGCAGCAGUGGGGAAUAUUGCACAAUGGGCGAAAGCCUGAUACAGCCAUGCCGCGUGUGUGAAGAAGGCCUUCGGGUUGUAAAGCACUUUCAGCGGGGAGGCGUUACCCGCAGAAGAAGCACCGGCUAACUCCGUGCCAGCAGCCGCGGUAAUUC